GGCGCGGUGGUGCAGUGGGUAGCACUGGUGCCUCACAGAAGAACUGGUCUGGGUUCGAUCCCUCUGUGUGA